AAAUUGAAGAGUUUGAUCAUGGCUCAGAUUGAACGCUGGCGGCAGGCCUAACACAUGCAAGUCGAGCGGAAACGAGUUGUCUGAACCUUCGGGGAACGAUAACGGCGUCGAGCGGCGGACGGGUGAGUAAUGCCUAGG
rnacentral:rRNA from 1 species